rnacentral:rRNA from 1 species
GUAGGUGGCAAGCGUUGUCCGGAAUUAUUGGGCGUAAAGCGCGCGCAGGCGGUCCUUUAAGUCUGAUGUGAAAGCCCACGGCUCAACCGUGGAGGGUCAUUGGAAACUGGGGGACUUGAGUACAGAAGAGGAAAGCGGAAUUCCAAGUGUAGCGGUGAAAUGCGUAGAGAUUUGGAGGAACACCAGUGGCGAAGGCGGCUUUCUGGUCUGUAACUGACGCUGAGGCGCGAAAGCGUGGGGAGCAAACAGGGAUUAGAUACCCCGGUAGCCCACGCCGUAAACGAUGAGUGCUAAGUGUUAGGGGGUUUCCCGCCCCCUUAGUGCUGCAGCUAACGCAUUAAGCACUCCGCCUGGGGAGUACGGCCCGCAAGGCUG